AGUGAACGCUGGCGGUAGGCCUAACACAUGCCAGUCGAACGGCAGCACAGUAAGAGCUUGCUCUUACGGGUGGCGAGUGGCGGACGGGUGAGGAAUACAUCGGAAUCUACUUUUUCGUGGGGGAUAACGUAGGGAAACUUACGCUAAUACCGCAUACGACCUACGGGUGAAAGCAGGGGAUCUUCGGACCUUGCGCGAUUGAAUGAGCCGAUGUCGGAUUAGCUAGUUGGCGGGGUAAAGGCCCACCAAGGCGACGAUCCGUAGCUGGUCUGAGAGGAUGAUCAGCCACACUGGAACUGAGACACGGUCCAGAGUCCUACGGGAGGCAGCAGUGGGGAAUAUUGGACAAUGGGCGCAAGCCUGAUCCAGCCAUACCGCGUGGGUGAAGAAGGCCUUCGGGUUGUAAAGCCCUUUUGUUGGGAAAGAAAAGCAGCAGGUUAAUACCCCGCUGUUCUGACGGUACCCAAAGAAUAAGCACCGGCUAACUUCGUG
rnacentral:rRNA from 1 species